GUUUUACCUGAAGAACUAGCAGCUCUC
rnacentral:piRNA from 1 species